UUUGGCAGUCUGAUCCUUCUGUUUGGAAUGCUCAUCUUCAGAUGCCACAUGGUCUACUGGAUGCCUCCUUGUCUAGGCUCAGACCUCAUGUAUAAAAACAGCAUAACUUGCAUGUGAGCAGCCUCUGCUGCGCAUUCCCACGGCCACGACCUGAGCUGCAGCUCCACACCUCCCUCAUCAUCAUGGACUGAAGAGCUCUGAAACCAUGACCGAAAUAAAUGUCCCCCAC
rnacentral:lncRNA from 1 species